rnacentral:rRNA from 1 species
AGAUACCCUACUAUGCUUAACCUUAAAUACUGCUAAAACCCAUACCAUAUUAUUCGCCCGAGUACUACAAGCGCUAGCUUUAAACCCAAAGGACUUGGCGGUGCCCCAGACCCACCUAGAGGAGCCUGUUCUAUAACCGAUAAUCCCCGUUAAACCUCACCACUUCUUGCCACUAACCGCCUAUAUACCGCCGUCGUCAGCUCACCCCAUGAGGGAACAAAAGUAAGCAAAAUGGAUUAACCUCCAACACGUCAGGUCGAGGUGUAGCGAAUGAAGUGGAAAGAAAUGGGCUACAUUUUCUACCAAGAAAAAAACGAACAGUAAAAUGAAAAAUUACUCAAAGGUGGAUUUAGCAGUAAGAAAAUCUUAGAAUGCUACCCUGAAACUGGCUCUGAGGCGCGCACACACCGCCCGUCACUCUCCUCAACAAUAAACCUUUCCUUACAUAAAUAAAUACACCCCCAAAGAGGAGGCAAGUCGUA